ACUCCUACGGGAGGCAGCAGUGGGGAAUAUUGGAUGCAAUGGGCGCAAGCCUGAUCCAGCAAUGCCGCGUGUGUGAAGAAGGCCUUCGGGUUGUAAAGCACUUUCAUCAGGAGGACGAUAGUGUUGCCGGCUAAUACCCGGUGGGAACUGACGGUACCUGAGGAAUAAGCACCGGCUAACUUCGUGCCAGCAGCCGCGGUAAUA
rnacentral:rRNA from 1 species